CCAAAGGGAAAAAGGAAUGGCAGAAGGAUGAGAAUCAAACAUCUGGUGAGGAGGAAGGAGGCCCGUGCUAUUUGGAUCUGGUAUAAAGCUCCCAGGAAUUGCAAAGCUGUUCUUAGCACAUCAGCUCAGUGGGCCUGGGUGGAUGGCAACAGAUGCAGACAGCAACACCAGGAGCAGGGGAAAGCCUGCCUUUUAAGGUUCAUGUUCCCCAGCAGGCCCGUUCCCAUUCCAAACACUUCUCCCACCAUUCUCUCAUCCCCAGUGUGUUGUUUUACACCCUGUGUGUGUGACUCACAUGAAACCGAGUUUCAAUCUCAUCACAUAGCACAGGUCUGCACUGGCUCCAAGGAACCAAUGUUAGAAGCUCCUGAGUGCUACAGGAAUGUCUCCGCCAAGGAAGCCAUAUAUGCUCGUCCAUCUAGUCCACAGGAAAUCACCCUUGGCUCCCCUUUCUAAUUCAAAGGAUGCUUUUUUCCUCGCUAUUUUGGCAGCCACAAGGCUGUUAGAAUCAAAGGAAGUCCUUUGUCUUUUCUGGGAGAUCUCCAUCUAUGUGGGGAUGUGCAUCCAAGGCGACUUUCCACUCACUGAAGCUGACCCGCAGUUACUCACCAGUGCACUGGUGCCCGUCGCCAGCAUAACCAGGCAGGCAGGCACAGCUGAACGCGCUGCCUCCGUGGUGAACACACCGGGCCUGUCCAGCAGGAGCACAGGUAUGACUGCCAUCCUCACAGGGGUUGGGAGGUGGGGUGAUCACUGAAAAGAGAAGAAGGCAAGCGCGUCCAAGAGUUUAGGCCUGCAAAGGGUGAGCCUUGCUCCUCAUGGCAUGAUCCACAGACCAACAGCAACAGACCAGGGAAUGCAGGUUCUCAGACCCUACUCCAGGGGCAGUGAUUCAGAAUCUGGGAUUUUAACAAGAUUCCUAGAUGGUUCGUAUGCUAUUAAAGUUCAAGUACUGGUAUGAAUUUGUGGUUAAAAUAUUAAGCACAAAAACCCAUCACCUAAGCAGUCCUCAAUUAAAGUUUA